rnacentral:rRNA from 1 species
AUUGAACGCUGGCGGCAGGCCUAACACAUGCAAGUCGAGCGGCAGCGGGAAGUAGCUUGCUACUUUGCCGGCGAGCGGCGGACGGGUGAGUAAUGUCUGGGAAACUGCCUGAUGGAGGGGGAUAACUACUGGAAACGGUAGCUAAUACCGCAUAAUGUCGCAAGACCAAAGAGGGGGACCUUCGGGCCUCUUGCCAUCAGAUGUGCCCAGAUGGGAUUAGCUAGUAGGUGGGGUAACGGCUCACCUAGGCGACGAUCCCUAGCUGGUCUGGGAGGAUGACCAGCCACACUGGAACUGAGACACGGUCCAGGCUCCUACGGGAGGCAGCAGUUGGGAAUAUUGCACAAUGGGCGCAAGCCUGAUGCAGUCAUGCCGCGUGUAUGAAGAAGGCCUUCGGGUUGUAAAGUACUUUCAGCGGGGAGGAAGGUGUUGAGGUUAAUAACCUCAGCAAUUGACGUUACCCGCAGAAGAAGCACCGGCUAACUCCGUGCCAGCCGCCGCCGUAACAC